AACUAUUCAGGCUGGAAUAGAGCAACAGAAAGCAUGUGGCAGUUCCCAAGGCUCCUGGCCGGGUCACCGCACUGCGGUUAGAGACAGAGCUGCCAGGGUCUGGGGCUGUAACAGCUCCAGGGUUAAUGAUCCAAGGCCAGGAACACAAGUCAGGAAGCGCUCCAAGAAGGGGGGACCUGAGGUGAGGCUUAGCUGGAUCCCUCCUCAGGGACCGUACCUCGCCAGGCUGAGAACUUCCCGAGGAAAGGGGCUGGAGCUUCGUUCACAUCUCACGUUGAGCAAACCAGGACGGUGCCUCCUAUACUUCCUUGUGUUUGUGCGCAGCCCAGCUCCCCUGGAACUUGUGGCAGCACAGAGGAUCCGGACUCGGUCAGGAAAAAUGGGAAGGUGUCAUGAAGGGAGCAGCAGGCAAGUGCUGGAGAGAAAAUCACAUUCUUCUCGACUAUGAAAAACCCACUUACCCUGAAAACACUCAUGAAAAAUGAAACACCCUGGCUUCUGACUGAACAGGUUUCUCUCCAUUUCUUCUCUAUCAAGAUAUUUGGCAAAAUUGAAAAAAAAAUUAAGUAUAUGAGUCUUCCUUUCCUAAAGAAAAUGAAAAGUUGGCAAAAU
ensembl:lncRNA